rnacentral:sRNA from 1 species
CCCUGAUAGAAGCGGCAUCCUUUUAUGAGGAACGAAUAAAAGAUAUAGCGGAUAGCAGGAUAAGGG